rnacentral:rRNA from 1 species
CCCUUGUCGGAGUCUAGCAUGCGAGUCAUUGUAGCAUACAAGGCAGACGGCUCAGUAACGCGUAGUCAAUCUACCCUAUGGACGGGAAUAACCUCGGGAAACUGAGAAUAAUGCCCGAUAGAACAUUAUACCUGGAACGGUUUAUGUUUCAAAUGAUUUAUCGCCGUAGGAUGGGACUGCGGCCUAUCAGUUUGUUGGUGAGGUAAUGGCCCACCAAGACUAUUACAGGUACGGGCUCUGAGAGGAGUAGCCCGGAGAUGGGUACUGAGACACGGACCCAGGCCCUAUGGGGCGCAGCAGGCGAGAAAACUUUGCAAUGUGCGAAAGCACGACAAGGUUAAUCCGAGUGGUUUCUGCUAAAGAAACCUUUUGCUAGUCCUAGAAACACUAGUGAAUAAGGGGUGGGCAAGUUCUGGUGUCAGCCGCCGCGGUAAAACCAGCACCUCAAGUGGUCAGGAUGAUUAUUGGGCCUAAAGCAUCCGUAGCUCGUUUUGUAAGUUUUCGGUUAAAUCCAUACGCUCAACGUAUGGGCUGCCGGGAAUACUGCAUAACUAGGAAGUGGGAGAGGUAGACGGUACUCGGUAGGAAGGGGUAAAAUCCUUUGAUCUAUUGAUGACCACCUGUGGCGAAGGCGGUCUACCAGAACACGUUCGACGGUGAGGGAUGAAAGCUGGGGGAGCAAACCGGAUUAGAUACCCGGGUAGUCCCAGCUGUAAACUAUGCAAACUCAAUGAUGCAUUGGCUUGUGGCCAAUGCAGUAUUGCAGGGAAGCCGUUAAGUUUGCCGCCUGGGAAGUACGUACGCAAGUAUGAAACUUAAAGGAAUUGGCGGGGGAGCACCACAAGGGGUGAAGCCUGCGGUUCAAUUGGAGUCAACGCCGGG